rnacentral:rRNA from 1 species
AGAGUUUGAUCCUGGCUCAGGAUGAACGCUAGCGGCAGGCCUAACACAUGCAAGUCGAGGGAGGAGCUUUCGGGCUUCGACCGGCGUACGGGUGCGUAACGCGUAUACAAUCUGCCUUUCACAUAGGGAUAGCCCGAAGAAAUUUGGAUUAAUACCUAAUGGUAUAUAGAUGUGGCAUCACAUUUAUAUUAAAGCUGAGGCGGUGAAAGAUGAGUAUGCGUUCUAUUAGCUAGUUGGAGAGGUAACGGCUCCCCAAGGCGACGAUAGAUAGGGGUUCUGAGAGGGAUAUCCCCCACACUGGUACUGAGAUACGGACCAGACUCCUACGGGAGGCAGCAGUGAGGAAUAUUGGACAAUGGUCGGAAGACUGAUCCAGCCAUGCCGCGUGCAGGAUGACGGCCCUAUGGGUUGUAAACUGCUUUUGUAAGGGAAGAAUAAGGAGUACGUGUACUUUGAUGACGGUACCUUAUGAAUAAGCAUCGGCUAACUCCGUGCCAGCAGCCGCGGUAAUACGGAGGAUGCGAGCGUUAUCCGGAAUCAUUGGGUUUAAAGGGUCCGUAGGCGGGCUAAUAAGUCAGAGGUGAAAGCGCUCAGCUCAACUGAGCAACUGCCUUUGAAACUGUUAGUCUUGAAUGGUUGUGAAGUAGUUGGAAUGUGUAGUGUAGCGGUGAAAUGCUUAGAUAUUACACAGAACACCGAUAGCGAAGGCAUAUUACUAACAAUUAAUUGACGCUGAUGGACGAAAGCGUGGGGAGCGAACAGGAUUAGAUACCCUGGUAGUCCACGCU